rnacentral:rRNA from 1 species
GACGAACGCUGGCGGCGUGCUUAACACAUGCAAGUCGAACGGUGAAGCGCCUUCCUUUUUGGUGGGUGUGGAUGAGUGGCGAACGGGUGAGUAACACGUGAGUAACCUGCCCCCUUCUUCUGGAUAACCGCAUGAAAGUGUGGCUAAUACGGGAUAUUCUGGGUCUGUCGCAUGAUGGGUCUGGGAAAGAUAUUGUUUCGGUGGGGGAUGGGCUCGCGGCCUAUCAGCUUGUUGGUGGGGUGAUGGCCUACCAAGGCGGUGACGGGUAGCCGGCCUGAGAGGGUGGACGGUCACACUGGGACUGAGACACGGCCCAGACUCCUAAGGGAGGCAGCAGGGGGGAAUAUUGCACAAUGGGCGCAAGCCUGAUGCAGCGACGCCGCGUGAGGGAUGGAGGCCUUCGGGUUGUGAACCUCUUUCGCCAGUGAAGCAGGCCUGCCUCGUUUGUGGGUGGGUUGACGGUAGCUGGAUAAGAAGCGCCGGCUAACUACGUG